GAUCCUCGCUUUGGCGGUACAUAUACUAAAAUUGGAACGAUACAGAGAAAAUUAGCAUGGCCCCUGCGCAAAGUUAAAAUAAAUAUUGUUUGACUUCGUUUGUUGGUUUUU